UACGUAGGGUGCGAGCGUUGUCCGGAAUUACUGGGCGUAAAGAGCUCGUAGGUGGUUUGUCGCGUUGUUCGUGAAAUCUCACGGCUUAACUGUGAGCGUGCGGGCGAUACGGGCAGACUGGAGUACUGCAGGGGAGACUGGAAUUCCUGGUGUAGCGGUGGAAUGCGCAGAUAUCUGGAGGAAUACCGGUGGCGAAGGCGGCAUCCUGGACCGGCAUUGACGCUGAGGAGCGAAAGCCAGGGGAGCAAACGGG
rnacentral:rRNA from 1 species